UAGGGAAUCUUCGGCAAUGGAGGAAAGUCUGACCGAGCAACGCCGCGUGAGUGAAGAAGGUUUUCGGAUCGUAAAACUCUGUUGUUAGAGAAGAACAAGGACGUUAGUAACUGAACGUCCCCUGACGGUAUCUAACCAGAAAGCCACGGCUAACUACGUGCCAGCAGCCGCGGUAAUACGUAGGUGGCAAGCGUUGUCCGGAUUUAUUGGGCGUAAAGCGAGCGCAGGCGGUUUCUUAAGUCUGAUGUGAAAGCCCCCGGCUCAACCGGGGAGGGUCAUUGGAAACUGGGAGACUUGAGUGCAGAAGAGGAGAGUGGAAUUCCAUGUGUAGCGGUGAAAUGCGUAGAUAUAUGGAGGAACACCAGUGGCGAAGGCGGCUCUCUGGUCUGUAACUGACGCUGAGGCUCGAAAGCGUGGGGAGCAAACAGG
rnacentral:rRNA from 1 species